rnacentral:rRNA from 1 species
UCGCGGAUCAGCAUGCCGCGGUGAAUACGUUCCCGGGCCUUGUACACACCGCCCGUCACACCAUGAGAGUCGGGAACACCCGAAGUCCGUAGCCUAACCGCAAGGAGGGCGCGGCCGAAGGUGGGUUCGAUAAUUGGGGUGAAGUCGUAACAAGGUAGCCGUAUCGGAAGGUGCGGCUGGAUCACCUCCUUUCUAAGGAGA